GAGGAGGGGGAUUGAUUGCGGCAUCGGUCUCUGCAUCGAUCCCCGGCGCUGAGCGGGCUGGCCUGGCCAGUGUCCCCUCCUCCCUCACGUGUGUGUCCCUCCUGGAGCCGCGCGCUUGUCGAAGAGGAGGACCGUCCCCGAUAGGGGAGGACCGGUCCCCGCAUCAAGGGUGUAUGAGUGGCUGCGCGCCCCUGCUGCUGCUGCUAAGUCGCUUCAGUCGUGUCUGACUCUGUGCGACCCCAUAGACGGCAGCCCAC
rnacentral:snRNA from 1 species